AGUCCUGAGCUUCGAUGGUAGAGCGUUUGCCUAACAAGCAGACGCGGGGUAAUCUCCUGUCAGGACUACCA
rnacentral:tRNA from 1 species